UACGUAGGGUGCGAGCGUUGUCCGGAAUUAUUGGGCGUAAAGAGCUUGUAGGCGGUUUGUCGUCGUCUGCCGUGAAAAUUCGAGGCUCGAACCUCGAACUUGCGGGUGGGUACGGGCAGACUAGAGUGUGGUAGGGGAGACGUGGAAUUCCGUGGUGUAGCGGUGAAAUGCGCAGAUAUCAGGAGGAACACCGAUGGCGAAGGCGGCG
rnacentral:rRNA from 1 species